rnacentral:lncRNA from 1 species
UCGUAUUGUUUAUUAUGUAAAUUGACCUUUUUUUAAAUAUAUAUAUAUAUAUAUAGUCUAUAUAUACAUAAAUAUUGUACUAUAAAAGUGUAACUAUUUUUAUGACUUGCCUUUGCUUUCUCGAGUUAACAUCUAUCACCUGCACUAAAGUAAAUAAAUGGAAAGAGAGCCUUACUUUUGUUUGAGAAUUUAACAAUAGCUAAACAAAAACGAAAACCUUUUGUACAGUAAAAUCCAUUAUUUUAUUCUUCAGCUUAAAAAAUAAUAUCAUGUUCAAAUCGAGUAGAAUGUAAGAUUAAAAUUUAUGUCUAAAAUUUAAAAAAAAAAAAAAAAAAAAGAUAUGGCCAAAUUCCGAGAUAAUUGCGCCACGUUUAAAAGUUAAAAACCGGGUUUCUGUCAAUGAAAAUUCUGCGAAAACCACUAUGCAGGUGUGACAACUCCCAUAACACGUCUUUCCCAUAAGGAAUGCCUCAAACAAUUGUCGCAUCAGGUGCUAUAGACGAAGCCUUUGUUUCCCUGGUCUUUGAAGCUUAUAGUAAGACGGAUGACCCUGAUUACCAGUUCAGUCAAAGGUUAAAGACGAAGAUGUGUACACGUGUGCUGCUACUCGUAGUAAUUCUUAACUUCGCAACGGUUCUCGGCAAACGAAAAGGUGUCGAAGAAGAAAGAACUGUAGCAAAAAAACCUGCAAGUACUCUGGUAAGUAAUUUUUCUUUAUGGUGGCAAUAUAUAUAGGCAAGCCUAUAUAUAUGGGGGAUAACGAUCCAUUUAGCAUGUCCAACUAACCGACUGAAACAUUAUUGUGCGAUUUGAGACAUUGUUCUAGUAAAAUAGAAGGAAAAUCACUCUUUUGUUUACUCAUUUUUGGAUAUUUUUAUCUAAUAAAAUGUAUGGAAU